rnacentral:misc_RNA from 1 species
AAACAACUCAACCCUCCCGAUGCUUUCUUUUUGCACGGGAAGGGUUGGUAGUGAGCGCUGCCGGACCUUGGGUCGGCUCGCUUUAAAAUCAUUAGCAGGAUCCAUUCUGACCUGGUUCUACUCGGCGUGAUAAGUCGUUAUCGUCGAGGACGCCAGCCUUCUGGGCAGGCGGCCACAGUAAGGGUGUUUGAACCGCUUCCAACAUGUCCUUGCUCUUGCAGCACGAACGCCUUGAAC